ACCGUGAUAAAUGUCGGUCUUAGUCACACAACCACCCAUUAUAAUAAAAUGGCACGGGCACUCUAGUAUGUUGAACAAACAAAACAAUUUUCAAAAUAUGAUAACUAGGUGUUAUAGGAUGUAGCCGGAUUAAAUACUCUGCGUGUCGCAAACAAAUAAGUCAGACGGGCUUAAUUUUAAAUGCGUAAAACAUUUUAGAGAUAAAAAUAAUUGUGGCACCUAUACCGAUACCUAUAUGUAGG